CUCAAACGCUGGGGGCGUGUCCGCCGUCGCCUCUGAAACCACGCCCACUCGCGGGAAAGCUGCGCCGUCUCUUUUAACUUUCAACGCUACUGCCUGAAUGGUAUGGAAGAAUAUUGGCAGGAAUUUUCAAAUCUUCAAUGAAUUUUGUUACAUGCAUCACACGAUCAGCGUGAAGAUACACAAUCUCAUCAGGUCUUUCCCCAUUACCAAAGACUUACAGGAACCUGCCAACAUGCGAACGGCGAAAGAGCAGGGAAGAGACGGAGAGAAAGGGGAGGAGAGAGGACACUUGGCAAAGACACAAAUGAUACACAAUGUAACCUGACAGUUUAUUCAUCUCUACCUUGACAUGUUUAAGCAGCCUGCUCUUAUUCUUCUGUCUCUCAUCCGUUUGCAUGGAAACCACCGAAAGACAGCGGUUCUCAAACUUUUUCAGCAUGCGGCCAUCCAAAGAAAAUGUAUGACAAAUUUGUUCUAAAACGUAACAUUUUAAUUAAACAAAACAUAUUAAAGUA